UACAGAGGGUGCGAGCGUUAAUCGGAAUUACUGGGCGUAAAGCGCGCGUAGGCGGUUUAUUAAGUCGGAUGUGAAAUCCCUGGGCUUAACCUAGGAAUGGCAUACGAUACUGGUAAGCUAGAGUAUGGGAGAGGAAGGUAGAAUUCCAGGUGUAGCGGUGAAAUGCGUAGAGAUCUGGAGGAAUACCGAUGGCGAAGGCAGCCUUCUGGCCUAAUACUGACGCUGAGGUGCGAAAGCAUGGGGAGCAAAC
rnacentral:rRNA from 1 species